rnacentral:rRNA from 1 species
GGGUUGUGAGGUUAAGCGACUAAGCGUACACGGUGGAUGCCCUGGCAGUCAGAGGCGAUGAAGGACGUGCUAAUCUGCGAAAAGCGUCGGUAAGGUGAUAUGAACCGUUACAGCCGGCGAUGUCCGAAUGGGGAAACCCAGUGCAAUUCGUUGCACUAUCGUUAACUGAAUACAUAGGUUAACGAGGCGAACCGGGGGAACUGAAACAUCUAAGUACCCCGAGGAAAAGAAAUCAACCGAGAUUCCCCCAGUAGCGGCGAGCGAACGGGGAGCAGCCCAGAGUCUGAAUCAGCUUGUGUGUUAGUGGAACGGUCUGGAAAGUCCGACGGUACAGGGUGAUAGUCCCGUACACCAAAAUGCACAGGUUGUGAACUCGAAGAGUAGGGCGGGACACGUGGUAUCCUGUCUGAAUAUGGGGGGACCAUCCUCCAAGGCUAAAUACUCCUGACUGACCGAUAGUGAACCAGUACCGUGAGGGAAAGGCGAAAAGAACCCCGGCGAGGGGAGUGAAAAAGAACCUGAAACCGUGUACGUACAAGCAGUGGGAGCACCUUCGGGUGUGACUGCGUACCUUUUGUAUAAUGGGUCAGCGACUUAUAUUCUGUAGCAAGGUUAACCGUAUAGGGGAGCCGCAGGGAAACCGAGUCUUAACUGGGCGUUAAGUUGCAGGGUAUAGACCCGAAACCCGGUGAUCUAGCCAUGGGCAGGUUGAAGGUUGGGUAACACUAACUGGAGGACCGAACCGACUAAUGUUGAAAAAUUAGCGGAUGACUUGUGGCUGGGGGUGAAAGGCCAAUCAAACCGGGAGAUAGCUGGUUCUCCCCGAAAGCUAUUUAGGUAGCGCCUCGUGAAUUCAUCUUCGGGGGUAGAGCACUGUUUCGGCUAGGGGGUCAUCCCGACUUACCAACCCGAUGCAAACUACGAAUACCGAAGAAUGUUAUCACGGGAGACACACGGCGGGUGCUAACGUCCGUCGUGAAGAGGGAAACAACCCAGACCGCCAGCUAAGGUCCCAAAGUCACAGUUAAGUGGGAAACGAUGUGGGAAGGCACAGACAGCCAGGAUGUUGGCUUAGAAGCAGCCAUCAUUUAAAGAAAGCGUAAUAGCUCACUGGUCGAGUCGGCCUGCGCGGAAGAUGUAACGGGGCUAAACUGUGCACCGAAGCUGCGGCAGCGACACUAUGUGUUGUUGGGUAGGGGAGCGUUCUGUAAGCCUGCGAAGGUGGCCUGUGAGGGUUGCUGGAGGUAUCAGAAGUGCGAAUGCUGACAUAAGUAACGAUAAUGCGGGUGAAAAGCCCGCACGCCGGAAGACCAAGGGUUCCUGUCCAACGUUAAUCGGGGCAGGGUGAGUCGACCCCUAAGGCGAGGCCGAAAGGCGUAGUCGAUGGGAAACAGGUUAAUAUUCCUGUACUUGGUGUUACUGCGAAGGGGGGACGGAGAAGGCUAUGUUAGCCGGGCGACGGUUGUCCCGGUUUAAGCAUGUAGGCGGAGGUUCCAGGUAAAUCCGGUACCUUUUAACGCUGAGGUGUGAUGACGAGGCACUACGGUGCUGAAGUAACAAAUGCCCUGCUUCCAGGAAAAGCCUCUAAGCAUCAGGUAACAUUGAAUCGUACCCCAAACCGACACAGGUGGUCAGGUAGAGAAUACCAAG